AUCCCUUUAAUUUUGCAUUAGCAACAUCACUGCAAAGAGACCAAUGCGUCUAGGACACUCACGAAAAUGAAAGGAAAAAAAAAAAAGAUGAACUUAGAGGACUCACGAAAAUGAAAGAUAAAAAAGAGAUGGACCUUGGAGGUUAUCAGGGCAGGCAAGGAACUCUUAGUAGAUCAGUUGAUUGAUUAGCUGAACUUUUACUUUGUUGUUUGUUGGUGAGAGUUCAGUUCUCCACCUUGUAAUCUCCCUUUUUAUUUUUCUUUCCCCGACCCGAUUUCAGAAAGUAAUCUGUCAAGAUUUGCCCUGAAUUUUCUACUAUAUUUGAUUUUCUGAAAAAGAUUUCUUUCUUAUUAGGUUUCUAUUAGGUUUAUGUUUUAUUAGAAGAAUGGUUUUGUAACUCUAUAAAUAGGAAAUUCCUUCAAUACAAUAGUCUCCAUAAUGUAGUUGUUUUAAGAGUCUGGUUUAGAGAGAGAUUUUCUCUCAAAUAAUUUUAUGUUUUUUAAUAUGUAGGUCAAUUUGCCGUAUGUUUUUAUUUGUCAUCUGAAUUAUCACCGUAUUGGUUUGCAAAUUUUAAGCUUUCGCAUGACGCCCUCUCAAUUUC
rnacentral:lncRNA from 1 species